rnacentral:rRNA from 1 species
UAGGGAAUCUUCCACAAUGGACGAAAGUCUGAUGGAGCAACGCCGCGUGAGUGAAGAAGGUUUUCGGAUCGUAAAACUCUGUUGUUGAAGAAGAACAUGCGUGAGAGUAACUGUUCAUGUAUUGACGGUAUUCAACCAGAAAGCCACGGCUAACUACGUGCCAGCAGCCGCGGUAAUACGUAGGUGGCAAGCGUUGUCCGGAUUUAUUGGGCGUAAAGAGAACGUAGGUGGUUUAUUAAGUCUGAUGUGAAAGCCCUCGGCUCAACCGAGGAAGUGCAUCGGAAACUGGUAAACUUGAGUGCAGAAGAGGAGAGUGGAACUCCAUGUGUAGCGGUGGAAUGCGUAGAUAUAUGGAAGAACACCAGUGGCGAAGGCGGCUCUCUGGUCUGUAACUGACGCUGAGGUUCGAAAGCGUGGGUAGCAAACAGG